ACAACGAAGAGUUUGAUCCUGGCUCAGGAUGAACGCUAGCGACAGGCUUAACACAUGCAAGUCGAGGGGCAGCACAGGUAGCAAUACCGGGUGGCGACCGGCGCACGGGUGAGUAACGCGUAUGCAACUUGCCUAUCAGAGGGGGAUAACCCGGCGAAAGUCGGACUAAUACCGCAUGAAGCAGGGGCCCCGCAUGGGGAUAUUUGCUAAAGAUUCAUCGCUGAUAGAUAGGCAUGCGUUCCAUUAGGCAGUUGGCGGGGUAACGGCCCACCAAACCGACGAUGGAUAGGGGUUCUGAGAGGAAGGUCCCCCACAUUGGUACUGAGACACGGACCAAACUCCUACGGGAGGCAGCAGUGAGGAAUAUUGGUCAAUGGCCGAGAGGCUGAACCAGCCAAGUCGCGUGAGGGAUGAAGGUUCUAUGGAUCGUAAACCUCUUUUAUAAGGGAAUAAAGUGCGGGACGUGUCCCGUUUUGUAUGUACCUUAUGAAUAAGGAUCGGCUAACUCCGUGCCAGCAGCCGCGGUAAUACGGAGGAUCCGAGCGUUAUCCGGAUUUAUUGGGUUUAAAGGGUGCGUAGGCGGCCUUUUAAGUCAGCGGUGAAAGUCUGUGGCUCAACCAUAGAAUUGCCGUUGAAACUGGGGGGCUUGAGUAUGUUUGAGGCAGGCGGAAUGCGUGGUGUAGCGGUGAAAUGCAUAGAUAUCACGCAGAACCCCGAUUGCGAAGGCAGCCUGCCAAGCCAUUACUGACGCUGAUGCACGAAAGCGUGGGGAUCAAACAGGAUUAGAUACCCUGGUAGUCCACGCAGUAAACGAUGAUCACUAGCUGUUUGCGAUACACUGUAAGCGGCACAGCGAAAGCGUUAAGUGAUCCACCUGGGGAGUACGCCGGCAACGGUGAAACUCAAAGGAAUUGACGGGGGCCCGCACAAGCGGAGGAACAUGUGGUUUAAUUCGAUGAUACGCGAGGAACCUUACCCGGGUUUGAACGCAUUCGGACCGAGGUGGAAACACCUUUUCUAGCAAUAGCCGUUUGCGAGGUGCUGCAUGGUUGUCGUCAGCUCGUGCCGUGAGGUGUCGGCUUAAGUGCCAUAACGAGCGCAACCCUUGCCACUAGUUACUAACAGGUAAAGCUGAGGACUCUGGUGGGACUGCCAGCGUAAGCUGCGAGGAAGGCGGGGAUGACGUCAAAUCAGCACGGCCCUUACAUCCGGGGCGACACACGUGUUACAAUGGCGUGGACAAAGGGAGGCCACCUGGCGACAGGGAGCGAAUCCCCAAACCACGUCUCAGUUCGGAUCGGAGUCUGCAACCCGACUCCGUGAAGCUGGAUUCGCUAGUAAUCGCGCAUCAGCCAUGGCGCGGUGAAUACGUUCCCGGGCCUUGUACACACCGCCCGUCAAGCCAUGGGAGCCGGGGGUACCUGAAGUCCGUAACCGCGAGGAUCGGCCUAGGGUAAAACUGGUGACUGGGGCUAAGUCGUAACAAGGUAGCCGUACCGGAAGGUGCGGCUGGAACACCUCCUUU
rnacentral:rRNA from 1 species